rnacentral:rRNA from 1 species
CCCUUAGAUGUUCUGGGCCGCACGCGCGCUACACUGAUGCAUUCAACGAGCCUAUCCUUGACCGACAGGUCCGGGUAAUCUUUGAAUCUGCAUCGUGACGGGGAUAGAUUAUUGCAAUUAUUAAUCUUCAACGAGGAAUGCCUAGUAGGCGCAAGUCAUCAGCUUGCGUCGAUUACGUCCCUGCCCUUUGUACACACCGCCCGUGGCUCCUACCGAUUGGGUGUGCUGGUGAAAUGUUCGGAUCGGCCGUUUGUCGUGGUUUCCGCGUCAUGUGGCUGAGAAGUUCAUUAAACCCUCCCACCUAGAGGAAGGAGAAGUCGUAACA